UUCGUUCGAGAUGUCAUUUGCUGCAUCAUGUUGGUUGUGUGUCACGGGAUUUAUAUUCGUUGCACUGAUUGG